rnacentral:lncRNA from 1 species
GAAAGCACUGAACUGAAAGGCAGUCGGCGGGGCUGCGGCGGGCGGUCAUUUCCUUCCUGGGCCGCCGGUCAUCUUCCACGAUGUUGCUGUGCUGACGGAUAAGCUCUUCCCCAUCGUGGAGGCCAUGCAGAAGCACUUCAGUGCUGGCUUGGGAACCUACUACAGUGACUCCAUCUUCUUCCUCUCGGUCGCCAUGCAUCAGAUCAUGCCCAAAGAGUGUACACCUCUUGUACAAGGUAGAACAUCUUGCACAUAACAGAAGGCCUGUCUGUCGGUCCCACUUUCCAAGAACCAGACCUUCUGGCACUGGCCACAACAGAUGGAAGCCAAUUUUUCAGAGACCCAAAGGACAGACCAAUCGUAGCCUGAAUCCCAAGAGUUCAGUGGGAGACACACUGUAUUCGUCUGUUCUCACACCGCUACGAAGAAAUACCCGAGACUGGGGCUACAGAGCCAGGAAGAGGAGCAUAGAAAGAAAAAGGAACAGGAAAUUGUUCAAAAGAAGUUCAUGAAAUGAGAAAAGCAGCAGGAAACAGCUCGGGAAUCGGCGAGGCUGCAGCCGAAG